GCCCAGCCAGGUCAGUUGGUAGGGUAUAAGACUCUUAUUCUUAGGGCUGUGGGUUCAAACCCCAUGUUAUGCA
rnacentral:tRNA from 1 species